ensembl:lncRNA
GUAAGUAUUGAUAAAUACUCCAGCUUUAUUCUUCAAAGUUGUCUUGCUAUUCAAGGUCCUUGGCAUCUUUGUAUAAAUUUUAAGUUUCCUGGAGAUGGCAGCAAAGUACACAGAAGCAAAGGGACCAACCAUACCACAUAAACAAGCGGCAAGAUUAAUGGCGCUGUGCAGUUCUGGGGAUGACUGACGAAAUGCAUCGGCCUCUUCUGCUCUCAAGUGACAGGGCAGGGAUCUUCCUGACCCAGAGAUGGAACCCAUGUCUCCUGUGGCUCCUUCGUUGGCAGACGAUUCUUUACCAUGUGAGCUACGAAACCCUUGGUACAAUGAGGACCUGUUUUUAAACUGGAAAUAAACCAGAAGCAUUAUUCUAUACUUAUAUACUGUAGUGAUCCAAGGAUGAAAGAGCAGAUAAGACCAAGGAGAUUCUUGGAAUGCAGGAACAGAAACCCAGACCCUUAUCAUCCUUCCCUCCUUCAUGUUCUAACUAUUAAUGGAACAGUAUAACCUGUCUCCCCUCCUACCCUGUAGGAAGAAGGUAUUUGCCCUGCUCUUCCCCCACCCAGUAUACAUGCCUCAUCCAAUCAGAAAAUGACCCACAAGACCCCUAUCCCACUCCUUGUACCUUGGGUAUAAAAGUGGACUAAGGACCCCUCUCAAUGUCGGUUCUCCCUUGAGCUGGCUUGCUGUUCUAACAGCGUCUCCCACUCUAAUAAACUUUAUUUCCCUCGCA